CCAAUAGCGUAUAUUAAAGUUGCUGCAGUUAAAAAGCUCGUAGUUGAAUUUCGGGACCAAUAUGUCGGUCGUGCCUCGGUACGUACUGGCAUCGUUGGUUUCUCCCUUCUGACGAACCAUGAUGUCAUUUAUUUGGUGUCGUGGGGAAUCAGGACUGUUACUUUGAAAAAAUUAGAGUGUUUAAAGCAGGCUCACGCUUGAAUACAUUAGCAUGGAAUAAUGAAAUAUGACGUUUGAUCCUAUUUUGUUGGUUUCUAGGAUCGACGUAAUGAUUAAUAGGGAUAGUUGGGGGCAUUAGUAUUCAAUUGUAAGAGGUGAAAUUCUUUGGAGUUAUUGAAGACUAACUACUGCGAAAGCAUUUGCCAAGGAUGUUUUCAUUAAUCAAGAACGAAAGUUAGGGGAUCGAAGACGAUCAGAUACCGUCGUAGUCUUAACCAUAAACUAUGCCGACUAGGGAUCGGAUGAUGUUAAUUUUUUAAUGACUCAUUCGGCGCCUUACG
rnacentral:rRNA from 1 species